AUUGAACGCUGGCGGCAGGCCUAACACAUGCAAGUCGAGCGGAUGAAGGGAGCUUGCUCCUGGAUUCAGCGGCGGACGGGUGAGUAAUGCCUAGGAAUCUGCCUGGUAGUGGGGGAUAACGUCCGGAAACGGGCGCUAAUACCGCAUACGUCCUGAGGGAGAAAGUGGGGGAUCUUCGGACCUCACGCUCUCAGAUGAGUCUAGGUCGGAUUAGCUAGUUGGUGGGGUAAAGGCCUACCAAGGCGACGAUCCGUAACUGGUCUGAGAGGAUGAUCAGUCACACUGGAACUGAGACACGGUCCAGACUCCUACGGGAGGCAGCAGUGGGGAAUAUUGGACAAUAGGCGAAAGCCUGAUCCAGCCAUGCCGCGUGUGUGAAGAAGGUCUUCGGAUUGUAAAGCACUUUAAGUUGGGAGGAAGGGCAGUAAGUUAAUACCUUGCUGUUUUGACGUUACCAACAGAAUAAGCACCGGCUAACUUCGUG
rnacentral:rRNA from 1 species